rnacentral:rRNA from 1 species
AUGAACGCUAGCGGCAGGCUUAAUACAUGCAAGUUGAGGGGCAGCAUGAGUAGCAAUACUUGAUGGCGACCGGCGCACGGGUGCGUAACGCGUAUGCAAUCUACCUAUAACAGAGGGAUAGCCCCGAGAAAUCGGGAUUAAUACCACAUAAAAUUCCUGGGUGGCAUCAUUUAGGAAUCAAAGCUGAGGCGGUUAUAGAUGAGCAUGCGUGACAUUAGCUAGUUGGAGAGGUAACGGCUCACCAAGGCGACGAUGUCUAGGGGUUCUGAGAGGAUGAUCCCCCACACUGGUACUGAGACACGGACCAGACUCCUACGGGAGGCAGCAGUAAGGAAUAUUGGUCAAUGGGCGAGAGCCUGAACCAGCCAUGCCGCGUGCAGGAAGACGGCCUUAUGGGUUGUAAACUGCUUUUGUCGGGGAAUAAACCUAUCUACGAGUAGAUAGCUGAAGGUACCCGAAGAAUAAGCAUCGGCUAACUCCGU